AUUGCCGGAGGAGCAGCAGAAGCUCGGCUAUGGAAAUGGGGGGCAGAUGAGCUGCAAGCAGAGGAAACCUCAGAGGGCAACCUUCACCAAAUCACAGGCGGCACAGAGAAUCACCAACAGGAGAAAAUGGUGGCCAUGAGCUGAGCCUCGUGCUGCAUUUCUCUAUCCUCAUGUACCCGAUUCCUCUAUUCCUCAAGUAUCCGAUGCUUCGAAGAUUCCCCCCUCCCCCAAAAUAAAAGAAUUAACAGAGAACGAACAUCCUCUAAAGAUGCCAGCCACAGAUGCAGGCAAAAUAUCAGGAUAAAAUGCUACUGGAACAUGGCAAUACAACCUGGAAAACCCACCACACCCUUGUGAUUCUGGCCGUGAAAACCUUUGACGAUACAUUAAACAGAGAAACGCUGCAAAUAAACAGGCGAGGGGAAGCUGAGUCAGCUCGGAAAAUGGCGCCAGGGAGGAAGUUCAAGGAAGAAGAGAAGCGUGGGAAACUUGGUCAAUAGUUCGCACAGCAUCUAAAGACGUCUCCAAAACAUUUCAGCUAGAGAAAACAACAGUCCAUCCCAGUAGAAGACAAACUCAUGUGUUUAUGUGGCCAACUUGUUUGAGGCUGUACUGGAAUUUAUCCAAGAGCUCCAGAUGAUAAUGACAAUGAGGCUAAAGGAAAGCCAUCCAUAAAAGGCUGAGCAACAAAUCUGAAUGGCCAACAAAACUCCCCUUCUAGCUUUGCAAAGCACAGCUAAUUUCCAUUUUAAAAUAAAAAAGACACAUGCAGAUAUAUGAGGUUUAAUGAAUAAACGAUCACAUUUAAUUCUCAAAACACUCAUUUUCCUGUUCCACUUGAUUCCCUCACAGGAAUGUUAUUGUGACAGAUCUAUUUUGAUCAAAUUGUCUAAUUGAAUGAAGCUCCGGUUUCCUUCCCCU